UAACGUCAAGGAGUGACGUACUCAUGGAAUGAGUUGGACCCAUCAGGAUGAUGUCGCAGGGACAGGCUUCGGGAUUGAAGCAGGGAAACCUCAGGAUGAGGUAAUGGACACCUCCAGGAAGGAGAACGUGAACCGUACUGGAUGACGGCUAGCAGGGAAGUGAACGGAUAACAUCAGGAUGAUGUUUGCUCAGGAGAGCACAGGAACAGUUUUCAAGGAAGAGCAGGGAGCAUAAAGGUAGCUGGAAAGCUGCGAACGAACCGGGGGCACUGUUAAUACAGUGCCCCUUUUUUUUCGU
rfam:Triticum urartu cultivar G1812 contig738316, whole genome shotgun sequence.